UACGGAGGGGGCUAGCGUUGUUCGGAAUUACUGGGCGUAAAGCGCACGUAGGCGGCUUUGCAAGUCAGAGGUGAAAGCCCGGGGCUCAACCCCGGAAUUGCCUUUGAGACUGCAUCGCUAGAAUUGUGGAGAGGUAAGUGGAAUUCCGAGUGUAGAGGUGAAAUUCGUAGAUAUCAGGAAGAACACCCGUGGCGAAGGCGGCUCUCUGGAACGCAACUGACGCUGAGACGCGAAAGCGUGGGGAGCAAACAGG
rnacentral:rRNA from 1 species